rnacentral:rRNA from 1 species
CCUACGGGAGGCAGCAGUGAGGAAUAUUGGUCAAUGGACGAGAGUCUGAACCAGCCAAGUAGCGUGAAGGAUGACUGCCCUCUGGGUUGUAAACUUCUUUUAUAUGGGAAUAAAAUGUUCAACGUGUGGGAUUUUGUAUGUACCAUAUGAAUAAGGAUCGGCUAACUCCGUUCCAGCAGCCGCGGUAAUACGGAGGAUCCGAGCGUUAUCCGGAUUUAUUGGGUUUAAAGGGAGCGUAGGUGGAUUGUUAAGUCAGUUGUGAAAGUUUGCGGCUCAACCGUAAAAUUGCAGUUGAAACUGGCAGUCUUGAGUACAGUAGAGGUGAGCGGAAUUCGUGGGGUAGCGGUGAAAUGCUUAGAUAUCACGAAGAACUCCGAUUGCGAAGGCAGUUCACUGGACUGCAACUGACACUGAGGCUCGAAAGUGUGGGUAUCAAACAGGAUUAGAUACCCGAGUAGUC